CGUGGGUAACCCGCCCAAGAGAUCGGGAUAACACCUGGAAACAGAUGCUAAUACCGGAUAACAACAGAUGAUGCCUAUCAACUGUUUAAAAGAUGGUUCUGCUAUCACUCUUGGAUGGACCUGCGGUGCAUUAGCUAGUUGGUAGGGUAACGGCCUACCAAGGCGAUGAUGCAUAGCCGAGUUUAGAGACUGAUCGGCCACAUUGGGGCUGAGACACGGCCCAAACUCCUACGGGAGGCAGCAGCG
rnacentral:rRNA from 1 species